rnacentral:rRNA from 1 species
UAGGGAAUCUUCGGCAAUGGGGGGAACCCUGACCGAGCAACGCCGCGUGAGUGAAGAAGGUUUUCGGAUCGUAAAGCUCUGUUGUUAAGGAAGAACGAGUGUGAGAAUGGAAAGUUCAUGCUGUGACGGUACUUAACCAGAAAGCCACGGCUAACUACGUGCCAGCAGCCGCGGUAAUACGUAGGUGGCAAGCGUUGUCCGGAUUUAUUGGGCGUAAAGCGAGCGCAGGCGGUCAAUUAAGUCUGAUGUGAAAGCCCCCGGCUCAACCGGGGAGGGUCAUUGGAAACUGGUUGACUUGAGUGCAGAAGGGGAGAGUGGAAUUCCAUGUGUAGCGGUGAAAUGCGUAGAUAUAUGGAGGAACACCGGUGGCGAAAGCGGCUCUCUGGUCUGUAACUGACGCUGAGGCUCGAAAGCGUGGGGAGCGAACAGG